rnacentral:rRNA from 1 species
UACGGAGGGUGCAAGCGUUAUCCGGAUUCACUGGGUUUAAAGGGCGCGUAGGCGGCCUGGCAAGUGGAAGGUGAAAUCCCUCGGCUUAACCGAGGAACUGCCUCCCAAACUGCUUGGCUUGAGACCAGGAGAGGUGAGUGGAAUUCCCAGUGUAGCGGUGAAAUGCGUAGAUAUUGGGAGGAACACCAGUGGCGAAGGCGGCUCACUGGACUGGUACUGACGCUGAGGCGCGAAAGCGUGGGGAGCAAACGGG